CGUUAUGUGGAGCUUGGGAGGGACACUUUCGAGUGUGCUGGUUACCUUUUACGCCAGUCUGUCAACCCUUUCAGGCUUCACACCAAU
rnacentral:antisense_RNA from 1 species